GGCCCUGCCUGUCCCGAACCAUGGAAUGAAGGAGCACCUGGGGGCAUGGAGGGAGUCAGCAGAGGAGCUGGGGGAGCCUUUCCCUGGAGGAACGGCUGGCUCCCUCUGGCAGUGGGAAGAAGAAGGUCCAGCUCAGGAGCUCUGACCACAGGGUGGGUGACAUGACUAAAGGCAUGAAGCCCAGGAAAGGCUGGGAGCCAGGACUGGCCCUGGAAGUCCUCUGACUCCUGUGCUAUGGCUACUUCUCCCUCCACCAUGCCCAGCCCUCCCAUCCUCUUCCACCUACCAACCUUUGUGUGCCCCUCCACCACCAGUUUGCAGGGAGUUCCCGCCACCCAAGGCGCUGGCCCCUUCCGCACACUGCAGCCUCACCUGCGCAGCUCGGUCCCCCAUCUCCUGGCAGCGGACAAACCACUGGCUCUUCAGUAGGUAUUCAACCACAUCCCCAGAACGGCUGAGAGAGAGACAGGCUAAGUGUACUGCUCUUUGGGUUCUGUGUUUUUCCCCCAAGGGACAUGGGACCCUAUUACACGCCAGGCCCUCAGAACCGAGAACAGAACAGCAAAUAAAACUGACACAGAGCUUCUGUUCCCUCGCAAAGGGAAUAGCAGCCUCCUGUAGAAUGAUGCUAAGCUUCUGACAGGCAAGUACCACAUGCACUUUUCACACGUGACACAGAAUAUCUAGAAUAAAUGCCCACAAGAAUGCAAAUACUACCCCAAGGUUCCUUAUGUGCCUCCCACCAGGCCAUGUGGGAAAUGGAUUUGUGGGUUCCUUCCCAUCAACCCAACACAUGCGCAAGAAAGCAGAGAUAAGCAGGCAACCUUUCUGAGGAUUACCCUCACC